rnacentral:rRNA from 1 species
ACACCGGCGGCCCGAGUGGUGUAUCGUGAUUAUUGGGUCUAAAGGGUCCGUAGCCGGUUUGGUCAGUCCUCCGGGAAAUCUGACAGCUCAACUGUUAGGCUUUCGGGGGAUACUGCCAGACUUGGAACCGGGAGAGGUAAGAGGUACUACAGGGGUAGGAGUGAAAUCUUGUAAUCCCGUGUGGGACCACCUGUGGCGAAGGCGUCUUACCAGGACGGGUUCGACGGUGAGGGACGAAAGCUGGGGGCAC